rnacentral:hammerhead_ribozyme from 1 species
GUCCGUCUGACGAGGUUCAAAUAGAACGAAACGCGCGUCCUGGAU